UCCGGUUUGUCACCGGCAGUCACCUUAGAGUGCCCAACUGAAUGCUGGCAACUAAGAUUAAGGGUUGCGCUCGUUGCGGGACUUAACCCAACAUCUCACGACACGAGCUGACGACAACCAUGCACCACCUGUCACCGCUGUCCCCGAAGGGAAAGCUAUGUCUCCAUAGCGGUCAGCGGGAUGUCAAGACCUGGUAAGGUUCUUCGCGUUGCUUCGAAUUAAACCACAUGCUCCACCGCUUGUGCGGGUCCCCGUCAAUUCUUUUGAGUUUCAUUCUUGCGAACGUACUCCCCAGGUGGAUCACUUAAUGCUUUCGCUUGGGCGCUGACUGUGUAUCGCCAGCACCGAGUGAUCAUCGUUUACGGCGUGGACUAC
rnacentral:misc_RNA from 1 species